GAUGAACGCUGGCGGCGUGCUUAACACAUGCAAGUCGAACGGACUCAUAUUGAAACCUAGUGAAGUAUGAGUUAGUGGCGGACGGGUGAGUAACGCGUGGAAAACCUGCCGUAUACUGGGGGAUAACACUUAGAAAUAGGUGCUAAUACCGCAUAAGCGCACAGCUUCGCAUGAAGCAGUGUGAAAAACUGAGGUGGUAUACGAUGGUUCCGCGUCUGAUUAGCUAGUUGGUGGGGUAAAAGCCUACCAAGGCAACGAUCAGUAGCCGGACUGAGAGGUUGGCCGGCCACAUUGGGACUGAGAUACGGCCCAG
rnacentral:rRNA from 1 species